CAAUGACACAUGUGCAGAGUCACCCUGGCAGUGGUGCAACCAGCACCCCCAGACAACCAAGGAGCAGCAGCACAGGUGGAACACAGGGC